UGUAGAGAUACGGUGAGGGUUCGACUCCUUUACUUACCGCCUAAUAAGAUUUAAAGCCAAGCUUCAUUCGGAUGUC
rnacentral:tRNA from 1 species